GUCAUAAGGCUAAACUCGUAUCUCGAUGUUCCCCUUUGUAACUUCUUUCAUUAUCCAUAGGUACAUUCCAUUCUUGAAGGUGAAAGUGAGGACUGCAGAUGCUGGAGAUCAGAG